rnacentral:rRNA from 1 species
UACGUAGGGUGCGAGCGUUGUCCGGAAUCACUGGGCGUAAAGAGCGCGUAGGCGGCUCGGGAAGUCGGCGGUGAAAGCCCGGGGCUCAACCCCGGGUCGGCCGUCGAUACUCUCGUGCUUGAGCACUGUAGAGGCAGGUGGAAUUCCGGGUGUAGCGGUGGAAUGCGUAGAGAUCCGGAAGAACACCGGUGGCGAAGGCGGCCUGCUGGGCAGUAGCUGACACUGAGGCGCGACAGCGUGGGGAGCAAACGGG